rnacentral:rRNA from 1 species
GAGUGGAGCUUGCUCCAUGAUUCAGCGGCGGACGGGUGAGUAAUGCCUAGGAAUCUGCCUGGUAGUGGGGGACAACGUUUCGAAAGGAACGCUAAUACCGCAUACGUCCUACGGGAGAAAGCAGGGGACCUUCGGGCCUUGCGCUAUCAGAUGAGCCUAGGUCGGAUUAGCUAGUUGGUGAGGUAAAGGCUCACCAAGGCGACGAUCCGUAACUGGUCUGAGAGGAUGAUCAGUCACACUGGAACUGAGACACGGUCCAGACUCCUACGGGAGGCAGCAGUGGGGAAUAUUGGACAAUGGGCGAAAGCCUGAUCCAGCCAUGCCGCGUGUGUGAAGAAGGUCUUCGGAUUGUAAAGCACUUUAAGUUGGGAGGAAGGGCAGUAAGUUAAUACCUUGCUGUUUUGACGUUACCGACAGAAUAAGCACCGGCUAACUUCGUGCCAGCAGCCGCGGUAAUACGAAGGGUGCAAGCGUUAAUCGGAAUUACUGGGCGUAAAGCGCGCGUAGGUGGUUCAGCA